rnacentral:rRNA from 1 species
GUGUCAGCAGCCGCGGUAAUACGGAGGGUGCAAGCGUUGCUCGGAAUUACUGGGCGUAAAGCGAACGCAGGCGGUUCACUAAGUCGGGCGUGAAAGCCCCGGGCUCAACCUGGGAAUUGCACCCGAUACUGGUAGACUUGAGUCUGAGAGAGGGAAGCGGAAUUCCUGGUGUAGAGGUGAAAUUCGUUGAUAUCAGGAGGAACACCGGCGGCGAAGGCGGCUUCCUGGCUCAGUACUGACGCUCAUGUUCGAAAGCGUGGGGAGCGAACAGGAUUAGAUACCCUUGUAGUCC